CUUCGUUUCAGUAGUCCACACUCUCACCUGUGUAGACUACUUUUCGUGGAGUCCUGGAACCAAGGUGGCCCCCGAGGAACGUGAGGCAGAAGCCUCUUGGGCUGGGCGGACACCUGUGCUCUGACCAGGAAGAUGGCCGGUUGUCUGGAGUCGGAAAUGGCGCCGCCUCAGAGGCUCUGUGGCUCUCGCCCAUUCCAGAAGCUGCUGGCCUCUGUGUUCCACACUCUCACCCGCAGACUGCCGCCGCGGAGUCCUGGAGCCAAGACUUUUAUCUAAAUCAUCUCGUGUGAAGGUAUGUUAAGGUUCAUCAAGUGUGUGCUAUAGUAGAAUCUACAGCAGUUUUUAGGACUUAUCUACAAAGAAGAAAGAAAAUCCUGCAGUGGCAAUGCAGACAAACUCUGAAUUGAAAGGAUAAAGAAAUACCUUUGGCUUGCCAGCACAAACCCAAACAACAGCAAAAGGUCCUUAACAACCUGAGGAAUCCAGAGA
rnacentral:lncRNA from 1 species